rnacentral:RNase_P_RNA from 1 species
ACUACCGGCUACUCUAUCGCGGUUCCGGUUUCGGCCGGAAAUGAGGAAAGUCCGGACAACGUAGAGCACCGCACUACCUAACGGGUAGGCUGCAUUCCGGGAACGGAAUGUGGACAGCCAGUGUCACAGAAAGCUAGACCGCCCCGGCCUUCGGGUUGGGGUAAGGGUGAAAACGUGCGGGCCAUUUGGCCUUAAUGUAAGAGCGCACGCCGCGGCGGGGUGACCCGUCGGGGGGAUAAACCUUGCGGGUUGAAAUGCCACGCACAUCCCGGGGCCUGCGGGCCGCUGAGUUGCUCGCUCAGUUUUUCCCUCGGGAAUGCCGGGAGGGGUAGGCAGAUAGAUCCGGUUCGUAAGGACCGGACUAGAUAAAUGAUAGAGGCUCCGCCUGGCGGAGAACAGAAUCCGGCUUAUCGGCCGGUGGUGGAG